GAUGAACGCUGGCGGCGUGCCUAAUACAUGCAAGUCGAGCGAACAGACGAGGAGCUUGCUCCUCUGACGUUAGCGGCGGACGGGUGAGUAACACGUGGAUAACCUACCUAUAAGACUGGGAUAACUUCGGGAAACCGGAGCUAAUACCGGCUCAUAUAUUGAACCGCAUGGUUCAAUAGUGAAAGACGGUUUUGCUGUCUCUUAUAGAUGGAUCCGCGCCGCAUUAGCUAGUUGGUAAGGUAACGGCCUACCAAGGCAACGAUGCGUAGCCGACCUGAGAGGGUGAUCGGCCACACUGGAACUGAGACACGGUCCAGACUCCUACGGGAGGCAGCAGUAGGGAAUCUUCCGCAAUGGGCGAAAGCCUGACGGAGCAACGCCGCGUGAGUGAUGAAGGUCUUCGGAUCGUAAAGCUCUGUUAUUAGGGAAGAACAGAUGUGUAAGUAACUAUGCACGUCUUGACGGUACCUAAUCAGAAAGCCACGGCUAACUACGUG
rnacentral:rRNA from 1 species